AGCAGCCGCGGUAAUUCCAGCUCCGAUAGCGUAUAUUAAAGUUGUUGCAGUUAAAAAGCUCGUAGUUGAAUUUCGGGAUUUGUCAGUUGGUCGGGCUUAACUGUCCGUACUGAUUUGAUGAGUUCCUACCUUCUGAAUAACCAGCAUGCUAUUAAGUUAGUGCUCUGGGGAAGCAGAUCUAUUACCUUGAAAAAUUAGAGUGCUUAAAGCGGGCUUGUGCUUGAAUAGAUUAGCAUGGAGUAAUAAAAUAGGACGGAUGGUUCUAUUUUGUUGGUUUCUAGGAUCACCGUAAUGAUUAAUAGGGAUAGUUGGGGGCAUUAGUAUUCAAUUGUCAGAGGUGAAAUUCUUGGAUUUAUUGAAGACUAACUUCUGCGAAAGCAUUUGCCAAGGAUGUUUUCAUUAAUCAAGAACGAAAGUUAGGGGAUCGAAGACGAUCAGAUACCGUCGUAGUCUUAACCAUAAACUAUGCCGACUAGGAAUCGGACAAGUUAAUUUUUAAUGACUCAUUCGGCGCCUUAAC
rnacentral:rRNA from 1 species